rnacentral:tRNA from 1 species
GCAUAUACGCUGUGCUGGUCGCCCACACACAGCAACUGACUUGUAAUCAGUAGGUCCCGGGUUCGACUCCUGGUGUCGGCACCA